rnacentral:rRNA from 1 species
CCGAUUAUUCCGGGAUAGCCUUUCGAAAGAAAGAUUAAUACUGGAUAGCAUAACGAGAAGGCAUCUUCUUGUUAUUAAAGAAUUUCGAUAAUCGAUGGGGAUGCGUUCCAUUAGUUUGUUGGCGGGGUAACGGCCCACCAAGACAUCGAUGGAUAGGGGUUCUGAGAGGAAGGUCCCCCACAUUGGAACUGAGACACGGUCCAAACUCCUACGGGAGGCAGCAGUGAGGAAUAUUGGUCAAUGGACGAGAGUCUGAACCAGCCAAGUAGCGUGAAGGAUGACUGCCCUAUGGGUUGUAAACUUCUUUUAUAUGGGAAUAAAGUGAGCCACGUGUGGCUUUUUGUAUGUACCAUACGAAUAAGGAUCGGCUAACACCGUGCCAGCAGCCGCGGUAAUACGGAGGAUCCGAGCGUUAUCCGGAUUUAUUGGGUUUAAAGGGAGCGUAGGCGGAUUAUUAAGUCAGUUGUGAAAGUUUGCGGCUCAACCGUAAAAUUGCAGUUGAUACUGGUAGUCUUGAGUGCAGCAGAGGUAGGCGGAAUUCGUGGUGUAGCGGUGAAAUGCUUAGAUAUCACGAAGAACUCCGAUUGCGAAGGCAGCUUACUGGACUGUAACUGACGCUGAUGCUCGAAAGUGUGGGUAUCAAACAGGAUUAGAUACCCUGGUAGUCCACACAGUAAACGAUGAAUACUCGCUGUUUGCGAUAUACAGCAAGCGGCC